rnacentral:rRNA from 1 species
AUGUCCGAUGACUCCGUCCCAAAUAGAAAGGCCAUGGCCUCGCUCACAAUGCUUGCAUCAUGGACAAUAUGGAAUAAAAGGAACACAAGAGUCGUUCAUCACAAGAGCACCCCACCGAUGAUCCUUCUUCAUAAUAUAAAGAAUGAAGCGAAGCUUUGGGUCAUUGCCGGGGUGAAAAAGUUGGGAUUAAUCUAUGCCAUUGCCGGCACGAAAAAGUUGGGAUUAAUCAAUGCCGGGGUGAAAAAGUUGGGAUUAAUCAAUGCCAUUGCCGAGGCGAAAAAGUUGGGAUCAAUCAAUGCCAUUGCCGGGGCGAAAAAGUUGGGAUUAGUAAUGUCGGGGGAGUAA